rnacentral:rRNA from 1 species
AUUGAACGCUGGCGGCAGGCUUAACACAUGCAAGUCGAGCGGAGAGAGGUAGCUUGCUACUGAUCUUAGCGGCGGACGGGUGAGUAAUGCUUAGGAAUCUGCCUAUUAGUGGGGGACAACAUUUCGAAAGGAAUGCUAAUACCGCAUACGUCCUACGGGAGAAAGCAGGGGAUCUUCGGACCUUGCGCUAAUAGAUGAGCCUAAGUCGGAUUAGCUAGUUGGUGGGGUAAAGACCUACCAAGGCGACGAUCUGUAGCGGGUCUGAGAGGAUGGUCCGCCACACUGGGACUGAGACACGGCCCAGACUCCUACGGGAGGCAGCAGUGGGGAAUAUUGGACAAUGGGCGGAAGCCUGAUCCAGCCAUGCCGCGUGUGUGAAGAAGGCCUUAUGGUUGUAAAGCACUUUAAGCGAGGAGGAGGCUACUUUAGUUGAUACCUAGAGAUAGUGGACGUUACUCGCAGAAUAAGCACCGGCUAACUCUGUGCCAGCCGCCGCCGUAAAAC